UACAGAGACUGCAAGCGUUUAUUCGGAUUCACUGGGCGUAAAGGGUGCGCAGGCGGCCGUGUGUGUGAGGCGUGAAAGCCCGAUGCUUAACAUCGGGAAUUGCACCUCAAACUACACGGCUAGAGCAUUGGAGAGGGUAGCGGAAUUCACGGUGUAGCAGUGAAAUGCGUAGAUAUCGUGAGGAACACCAGAGGCGAAGGCGGCUACCUGGACAAUUGCUGACGCUCAGGCACGGAAAGCGUGGGGAGCAAAAGGCAUG
rnacentral:rRNA from 1 species